GCGGCCAGAGCUCCCUCUGCAGGGCCGGCGGAGGCGGCCGGAGCAGCCGCUUUGGAGAUCGGCCGGCAGGCGCCGCUGCCUCUCCGGGUCUAGCGGGCGGAUGCCUCUGCCGGAGCCUGGCGCGCCGAUCGGGAGCGGCCGGCCGGAGCGAUGGCUCCGCCGGGGCCGCUGCGCGUGUUGAGCCACGGAGGGCGGCGGUUCCUCUGCUUCUGCGGAGACGGAGGCUCCUCUGCGAGGCUGCAGCUGACCGACGCUUGCGAGUUCUGGAGCUGCAGCGUCUCUUCGGAGAAGCUGAACGGACAGGAGGAGCCCGGCUCUCCCGCCGGCAGCCUCUCCAGACUGCGGGAAAUCUUGCAGGGCCAGACGCCCAUCCUCCUCACCCUCCAUGACGGCAAGGCCACGCUGCAGGUCCAGCACGGUGGGCAGAGCGUGACCUUCGACCUGGACAAAGCCUCCCUCCCCGAGGCCAGGAGGCAGCUGCAGGACCUCACCUUUGGCCUGGUGGAGCAGCUGCAGACGCUGGAGAAACGCCUGGAAGAGGGCACAGCCGCUGCCACUUCCGUGGCCCUCAGGAGCCCGGAAAAGAUCUCACCAAGCCAGAGUCUCUUGGGAGCAGACUUCAGUCCGCGGAAGCCCAGAGGAGAAGCUGGUCCGAUCAAGCGGCGCCUGCCUGGGGAGUCCCUUAUUAACCCUGGAUUCAGAAGUUCCUCCUUCCAGAUGUUGGACUUGAAUUCCUAUCGCUCCCAACUAGUAGAGGAUGACAGCAAGAAGACCCCGAUGGGGGUAGACUUCGAAGACGCCUGAACCGUUUUCCAAAUCAAAUGGGAAAGAACUGCUUCAGCAUGGAUAUUUUUAAAAUUAUUUAAGCCUUAAACUACACCAGGCUAGUUAUUUUUGGAUCCGCGCAGGCGUUGAUGGAAUGGGAAGACGGUUCGGCCGCCGUUUAAUUGAGCCUCGUCGGCACUAAAGCCUCGCAGCCCCUUCCUGACCUGCCUUUCAGUGGGAACAUGGGCGCUGGGUAUGCCUCUCACACCCACCCAACCAGCUUCCUUGCACCCAGCGGGGGACCAGGGAGCGCCCCCCCCGCCCCACCUCUCGGCUGUGAUCAGAUUGUUCCCCAGCCAAAUCCAAAACCGAGGCAGCGUUUCAGGUUGGACAAGAGAGGUUCCCUCGGCCAGGACAGGUGCCUGAAGGCAGGGAUUUGGCAGUUUCGUUUUGCGAAAUGGAUUUGGGCAGUCUUCCUCUGAACACAGCUGCACGCAAAGAGAUCCCUUCGGCUCCAAGUGGGGGAAAUAGGACCGUUGCAGCCGCCCGUUGGAGGAAAAAGGUGCGCCAGGACUUCCCAGCCCCUCCCUGCAAGAUGCAACCCCCGGGAGCCACACUGGAGGGCUUGCAGGUCCCCUCCAGCCGGUUGUUGAGGGGAAAGCCUGCCUGGGGAUGUCCGAAUGCGAGCUGGACCCAGAGGGCCCACCUCCCAGCUGUGUGAAACGAAGCAGAGGCUAGGAGCAAGGAAGGGCCCCGUCCAGACACAACCUGCUCCAAGGCCAGAGGCUGGAGGGGGCCAGGAGAGGCCUGUCCACUCUGCUCUUCAGCUUAUGGCCUCUCCGGCAACUCCCUUAGCAGAUGGGACCAUCUGGAGGCUCUUCCUCCAGGUCUCCAAUCGGUGGCUUUGGCCACAUCACCCGAGGUUCCCUCUGGAGCAUCCGGGCCCGAGCGGCAGAGGGAAGGGAGAGCGAG